AGAACGAACGCUGGCGGCAUGCCUAAUACAUGCAAGUCGAACGAACUCUUCGGAGUUAGUGGCGCACGGGUGCGUAACGCGUGGGAAUCUGCCCUUGGGUUCGGAAUAACAGUUGGAAACGACUGCUAAUACCGGAUGAUGACGAAAGUCCAAAGAUUUAUCGCCCAGGGAUGAGCCCGCGUAGGAUUAGCUAGUUGGUGAGGUAAAGGCUCACCAAGGCGACGAUCCUUAGCUGGUCUGAGAGGAUGAUCAGCCACACUGGGACUGAGACACGGCCCAGACUCCACGGGAGGCAGCAGGUAGGAAUAUGGACAAUGGGCGAAAGCCUGAUCCAGCAAUGCCGCGUGAGUGAUGAAGCCUUAGGUGUAAAGCUCUUUACCGAG
rnacentral:rRNA from 1 species